rnacentral:rRNA from 1 species
AGAACGAACGCUGGCGGCAGGCCUCAAACAUGCAAGUCUAGGGGGUGUAGCAAUACAUCACCGGCGGACGGGUGCGUAACACGUGGGAAUAUACCUUUUGGUUCGGAACAACGCAGGGAAACUUGCGCUAAUACCGAAUGUGCCCUUACGGGGAAAGAUUUAUCGCCAAAGGAUUAGCCCGCGUAGGAUUAGCUAGUUGGUGAGGUAAUGGCUCACCAAGGCUCCGAUCCUUAGCUGUUCUGAGAGGAAGAUCAGCCACACUGGGACUGAGACACGGCCCAGACUCCUACGGGAGGCAGCAGUUGGGAAUCUUGGACAAUGGGGGAAACCCUGAUCCAGCCAUGCCGCGUGAGUGAUGAAGGCCUUCGGGUUGUAAAACUCUUUCGACGGGGACAUAAUGACGGUACCGUAGAAGAAGCUCCGGCUAACUUCGCGCCAGCAGCCGC